rnacentral:misc_RNA from 1 species
CAUACCUGGCACACACACAGACACAAACACAUGCGCAGUGAACAUUCUCAACUGUUUUCGGUUCACGCAUCGGUGGCAGCGCAGAGGCAAGGCUCUGUGAGCGGCAGUCGACGACAAAGAAUCACAACAGUAAGAAGCAAAAUGCCGGCACCGAGGAGGCGCUCGAUCGCAGAGGGGAGGGGGAGGAGGAGGCACAGAAAGGCCGAUUCUGUACAGCAAAGAGUACCAGCCCUCAUCGCCGCGCGCUCUGUGACGUCUCUCUGUUCUUGAUGACACAUGCGAUGACCGCUCUGGGCGGUCGUCCCCCCCCCCAUCUUACAGGAAUGACUCGAAGUUGUAGGGGGGUCUCAUCGGAGCAUUCGUGGACACUUUUUUGUCCGAAGGUUUGCGCUUCGGUGUGUACGCCUUCUGCAAGCGUCUAGCGUCGAAACGGCGCGUGCAGCUCCUCGAAUCUGUCUCCCGUUCUGCCGAUUUCGUACGCUGCUGCUCUUCUCCUUCCUCCCUCCUGCAUUCCCUUGCUUUAUUGGGGACUCCUCCCUGCUUAG